AUUGAACGCUGGCGGCAGGCCUAACACAUGCAAGUCGAGCGGCAGCGGAAAGUAGCUUGCUACUUUGCCGGCGAGCGGCGGACGGGUGAGUAAUGUCUGGGAAACUGCCUGAUGGAGGGGGAUAACUACUGGAAAUGGUAGCUAAUACCGCAUAACGUCGCAAGACCAAAGAGGGGGACCUUCGGGCCUCUUGCCAUCAGAUGUGCCCAGAUGGGAGUAGCUAGUAGGUGGGGUAACGGCUCACCUAGGCGACGAUCCCUAGCUGGUCUGAGAGGAUGACCAGCCACACUGGAACUGAGACACGGUCCAGACUCCUACGGGAGGCAGCAGUGGGGAAUAUUGCACAAUGGGCGCAAGCCUGAUGCAGCCAUGCCGCGUGUAUGAAGAAGGCCUUCGGGUUGUAAAGUACUUUCAGCGGGGAGGAAGGUGUUGAGGUUAAUAACCUCAGCAAUUGACGUUACCCGCAGAAGAAGCACCGGCUAACUCCGUGCCAGCCGCCGCAGUAA
rnacentral:rRNA from 1 species